rnacentral:rRNA from 1 species
CGGCCCGACCACGCGCUUAUCCAUAACAAUACGAGGGGUAUAGUAGCAAUACUAGAGACCGGCGCACGGGUGAGUAAAGGGUAUGCAAUCUACCUUUCACAAAGGAAUAGCCCAGAGAAAUUUGGAUUAAUGCCUUAUAGUAUUACGACUUCGCAUGGAGAUGUAAUUAAAGAUUUAUCGGUGAAAGAUGAGCAUGCGUCCCAUUAGCUAGUUGGUAAGGUAACGGCCUACCAAGGCAACGAUGGGUAGGGGUCCUGAGAGGGAGAUCCCCCACACUGGUACUGAAACACGGACCAAACUCCUACGGGAGGCAGCAGUGAGGAAUAUUGGUCAAUGGGCGCAAGCCUGAACCAGCUAUGCCGCGUGCAGGAUGACGGUCCUAUGGAUUGUAAACUGCUUUUAUACAGGAAGAAACACUCCCUCGUAAGGGAGCUUGACGGUACUGUAGGAAUAAGGAUCGGCUAACUCCGUGCCAGCACCCGCGGUAAUACGGAGGAUCCAAGCGUUAUCCGGAAUCAUUGGGUUUAAAGGGUCCGUAGGCGGCUUAAUAAGUCAGAGGUGAAAUCCCUACGCUUAACGUAGGAACGGCCAUUGAUACUGUUAGGCUUGAAUUAUUAGGAAGUAACUAGAAUAUGUAGUGUAGCGGUGAAAUGCUUAGAGAUUACAUGGAAUACCAAUUGCGAAGGCAGGUUACUACUAAUUGAUUGACGCUGCUGGACGAAAGCGUGAGUAGCGAACAGGAUUAGAUACCCUGGUAGUGCACGCCGUAAACGAUGGAUACUAGCUGUUCGGAGCAAUCUGAGUGGCUAAGCGAAAGUGAUAAGUAUCCCACCUGGGGAGUACGUUCGCAAGAAUGAAACUCAUAGGAAUUGACGGGGGCCCGCACAAACCGUGGAGCAUGUGGUUUAAUUCGAUGAUACGCGAGGAACCUUACAAAGGCUUAAAUGUAAAUUGAAUG